AGCAGCCGCGGUAAUUCCAGCUCCAAUAGCGUAUAUUAAAGUUGUUGCAGUUAAAAAGCUCGUAGUUGAAUUUCGGGAUCAAGGAAUCGGUCAUGCCUCGGUAUGUACUGGUUUUAUUGGUUCUCACCUUCUAAAGAACCAUAAUGUCAUUCAUUUGAUGUUAUGGGGAAUUAGGACUGUUACCUUGAAAAAUUAGAGUGUUUAAAGCAGGCUUACGCUUGAAUACAUUAGCAUGGAAUAAUGAAAUAGGACAUCAGAUUCUAUUUUGUUGGUUUCUAGGAUCGAUGUAAUGAUUAAUAGGGAUAGUUGGGGGCAUUAGUAUUCAAUUGUCAGAGGUGAAAUUCUUGGAUUUAUUGAAGACUAACUACUGCGAAAGCAUUUGCCAAGGAUGUUUUCAUUAAUCAAGAACGAAAGUUAGGGGAUCGAAGACGAUCAGAUACCGUCGUAGUCUUAACCAUAAACUAUGCCGACUAGGGAUCGGAUGAUGUUAAUUUUAUAAUGACUCA
rnacentral:rRNA from 1 species